rnacentral:rRNA from 1 species
CUAGACUCCUAAGGGAGGCAGCAGUGGGGAAUAUUGCACAAUGGGGGAAACCCUGAUGCAGCGACGCCGCGUGAGCGAAGAAGUAUUUCGGUAUGUAAAGCUCUAUCAGCAGGGAAGAUAAUGACGGUACCUGACUAAGAAGCCCCGGCUAACUACGUGCCAGCAGCCGCGGUAAUACGUAGGGGGCAAGCGUUAUCAGGAUUUACUGGGUGUAAAGGGUGCGUAGGUGGCAUGGCAAGUCAGAAUUGAAAGCCCGGGUCUCAACCCCGCGUUCUGCUUUUGAUACUUUCCGUCUGUAGUACAGGAGAUGUAAGCGGAAUUCCUAGUGUAGCGG